rnacentral:rRNA from 1 species
GACGUAGGAGGCGAGCGUUGUCCGGAUUCAUUGGGCGUAAAGAGCGCGCAGGCGGCUUGGUAAGUCGGAUGUGAAAUCCCGAGGCUCAACCUCGGGUCUGCAUCCGAUACUGCCCGGCUAGAGGUAGGUAGGGGAGAUCGGAAUUCCUGGUGUAGCGGUGAAAUGACGCAGAUAUCAGGAGGAACACCGGUGGCGAAGGCGGGUCUCUGGGCCGUAACUGGACGCUGGAGGAGCAGAAAGCAUGGGGAGCGAACAGG